GAUGAAGAACGCAGUGAAAUGCGAUAAGUAAUGUGAAUUGCAGAAUUCAGUGAAUCAUCGAAUCUUUGAACGCAUCUUGCGCUCCUUGGUAUUCCUUGGAGCAUGCCUGUUUGAGUAUCAUGAGCAAAUCUCAAAGUCAAUUCCUUUUGUUAAUUCAAUUGGUUUUGCUUUGGACUUGGAGGUCUUGCAGAUUUCACAGUCUGCUCCUCUUAAAUGCAUUAGCUGGAUCUCAGUAAUUAUGCUUGGUUCCACUCGGCGUGAUAAGUAUCACUCGCUGAGGACACUGUUAAAAAGGUGGCCAGGAAAAUACUGAUUGAACCGCUUCUAACGGUCUAUUAAGUUAGACAAUUGACCCUUAAGUUUGAUCUCAAAUCAGGUAGGACUACCCGCUGAACUUAAGCAUAUCAAUAAGCGGAGGA
rnacentral:misc_RNA from 1 species